UGAGUUUCCAUAUACAUAUCUUUACUUAUCCAUUUUUAUGUAUUUAUUGUUUAUGCUUUUGUAUUAUGUUUUUUAGGGCUUACCAAUGCCAUCAAAACAAUUGGCGCAGUCAUCUCUUCAACCUUCGCACGAGGUAAUUGUUGUUCCGAAUGGGGAUUUACAUGACAAUGUGGAGACCCAACGCUCACAACCACUUGAUGUCGAUAUAGAGGCAUCGAGGAAGGCAGCCCCCCAAUCUAGUGUCGAUAAGAUGCUGAAUUUUACUAUUAAAAUGAAAUUCUCUAUUUUAAUAUAAUUCUAUGGUGCAAAAGAACAGACUCUAAUGAAAACAAAAGAACAGACUCUAAUGAAUGUUGUAGACCUUGAGUGCCUAACAGUUAAAGAAAACUGAGUGCCUUAUUGAAAACAAAGUUUUACUCUAAUAAAUUCCAGAGAAAGUUUUCAGUGAAAAAGUUUUACUGACCUUGAGUGCCUAACAGUUGAAGAAAACUCUGUUCUCUGAAAACUUUCUUGGUGAAAAAUUCCUUUAUUACUGAAAUUUUUUUCUGAAAUUGAACUUUAAGAUGAACAAAAGAACAGACUAAUGAAUGUUCAUUUCUCAGCUCUAAGCUAGACACACACAUAAUAGUUAAUGAAAGGGAAGAGUAACUGACUAACUAAUAACCAACAUCUGGAACACAAGCUGCAGCUGUACCUGUGUGGCUGCUGGUAGUGCUGUUUGUGCAAGGCUCUUAAUGGCAACAAAUGUGUUCCAGUCACAAUCAUCCCAAUUUAUACCUUCUAUUCCAUGUCGGUUUAAGGGGCAAGCGAAUAUCAUAAAUCAUAGCAAGUUGCAAAAACUAUCGUGUGCCUAGUCUACAAAUUACAACACAAAAACAUGAAUUUCAAGCACAAAAAGAGGAAAUUCAAACACAAAAUAAAGAGAUAUGGAAGAUGAAUGGGUUGAUUGACGAGCAUUUUGAGAUGACAUCAAGCAUCAUGGAGUUUCUUAAGAAGCAAGGUUUCAAAGGACAAUUUAGAGGAGGUAUCCCAUGAACUCGUACAUCGCCUUUUUGAUUGGUUUUUGAUGGCGUUUGGAAACAUACUUGUAAAUGAAGAUCAACUGUUGAAUUUUUUGUCCUAAACUGAUGCUUAGUUGUAGUUGCAAAUCAAGAUUGAGUGUUAAUUUUUUUUGUGGAUUCCACGUUAGUUCAUUUUGGGAUUUGCUUUGAUGUUUUUUUGUUAUACUUAAUAGAUUAUUAUUAAAUUUGUUU